rnacentral:tRNA from 1 species
CGGGCUGUGGCGCAGUUUGGUAGCGCACCGAGCUGGGGGCUCGGGGGUCGCAGGUUCAAGUCCUGUCAGCCCGA